UACGGAGGGGGCGAGCGUUAUUCGGAAUUAUUGGGCGUAAAGGGCGCGUAGGCGGCUUGACAAGUCAAAGGUGAAAUCCCUCGGCUCAACUGAGGAACUGCCUUUGAAACUGUCUGGCUUGAGGCCGGGAGGGGGUAGCGGAAUUCCCAGUGUAGCGGUGAAAUGCGUAGAUACUGGGAGGAACACCAGUGGCGAAGGCGGCUACCUGGACCGAUUACUGACGCUGAGGCGCGAAAGCUAGGGGAGCAAACGGG
rnacentral:rRNA from 1 species